AGAGCCAGAAUGGGAGGACAAUGAUGCAUACGCAUCACUUCUACGGAGCACAGCCGCUGCGAUGCCAGCGAGUGCCUUUACCCUGGAGGCAGAGAGCAGGCAGAGAGCAGAGGACCCUGGCAGCUGAUCCUGUGCAGCUCCUGUGCUGCUGAGGGGACCCACCGUCGUUGCUCACACUUGAGUAACACAACAUCCAGGUGGGAGUGCAACAGCUGUGCUGGCCUGGGAACCGUCUCAAGUUCUGACACUGACAGCGACAGUCCCAGCGCUGCGCUCAGAGGGCUCAGGGGCCAUUCAUCAAUCUCGUAGAGCCUGAGAAUA